rnacentral:rRNA from 1 species
AUGCUUGUUGCAACAAAGAAGCAUGUUCUUUAUAAUUUGGUUUACUUACUCAUCAAAUUGAUAUUGAUUUUAUCGGUGGCAACAACAAGUGUUGAAAGAGUAUUUUUAGGAAUGAAUCUAGUGAAAAGUAAGUUGAGGACUAGUAUGAGUGAUAAUCGCUUGGUGACAUUUAUUGAACGAGAUGUGUUCAUGAAAGUAAGUGAAGAUGACACAGUUGAUGCUUUCAUGGCAAUGCAAAACUGUAGAGUUACCUAG